rnacentral:rRNA from 1 species
AUGGCAGGCGCCGGCAUCCACCCGUUUCACCAGCAGUGGCCGCCCCAAGCGGCGGUGCCCGCGCCUCCCGCCGUCCCACCGCCUCCCCCCGUACCAGGCGCACCCGAUGCCGCCGUCCGCCCCGGCUCUGACGAGGUCCGCACCAUCUUCAUCACGGGGCUCCCCGUGGACGUCAAGGAGCGGGAGCUGCAUAACCUGCUGCGCUGGCUUCCGGGAUUCGAGGCUUCCCAGAUCAACUUCAAGGGCGACCAGCCCAUGGGGUUCGCACUCUUCUCCUACGCGCACCACGCCAUCGCCGCAAAGGCCGCGCUGCAGGAUCUGGUCUUCGAUGCGGAGACCAAGUCGGCGCUGCACAUCGAGAUGGCCAAGAAGAACCUAUUCAUCAAAAGAGGUGUGGGAACUGAUGCAAAUGCUAUGGACCAAAGUAAACGCUUGCGAACUGGUGGAGACUAUACUCAUUCUACGUAUCCUCCUCCUCCAUUCCACCCACCCCCACCAGCUGUUUCCAUGUGGGGAACUGCAGGUUAUAUGGCAGCUCCGCCUCCUUAUAAUCCUUAUGCUGGCUAUCCUGUGCCGACGGUACCAAUGGCUUCACCUUCUCCUGUGCCAGGCCCAACAGCAUAUGCUCCUGUGCAGAACAUGAAAGAUAACCCUCCCUGUAAUACCCUUUUCAUUGGAAAUCUUGGUGAAACUGUUGUUGAAGAGGAAUUGCGGGGCCUCUUCAGUGUACAACCUGGUUUCAAACAAAUGAAAGUGUUGCGUCAAGACAGGAACACCGUCUGUUUUAUUGAGUUCGAUGAUGUGAGCACUGCUUCUGCUGUGCACCAUACUUUACAGGGUGCUGUUGUUCCUAGUUCUGGCCGCGGUGGGAUGCGAAUCCAAUUUUCAAAAAAUCCCUUCGGGCGAAGGAAGGACUUAGUUGGUGGCAUGGUCGGCACUCUGAAUGGUGCUCCUGUUUGA